ACAUUAGUUUUCUAGGGUUCCGCAGUACGCUGGUCAGGUCCAAGAGAAAACACACAGUUGGAAACUGUGCACACGGAGGGAUAAAAGCCCGGGAGAU
rnacentral:sRNA from 2 species